rnacentral:pre_miRNA from 1 species
CAAGUACUCCCUCCGUCCGAAAAUACUUGUCAUCAAAAUGGACAAAAAGGGAUGUAUCUAAAACUAAAAUACAUCUAGAUACAUCUCCUUUUAUUCAUUUUGAUGACAAGUAUUUCCGGACGGAGGGAGUAAAAU